CAGGUGAGUACAGCAUCGACGAUCCACUUGACACUGCACCGAGUUUACAUGAGGUCGACGUGAUUGGAUACACGAGCAAUCAGUCGGAUACCGAUGACCAUAGCAGUGUGCAGAGCAGCAGCGACAGUGGCGUAGCAAUGUCCACUUCCAGGCUGACCUUAUCUGAAAUGAUGGACAAUCUUUAGACCAGAGGACGGCGCGAGGGCGUCAUCAACAACAUAAACAUCAGCAGCAGCAAAAACAUCAACAACAACAACAACAACAGCAUCAGCAGCAGCAGCAACAACAACAAUACAAGCGUUUGCGAAGGAAAAAGUGUCAUUGUUGUCAGUCGUGGCAGCAAGAUCGAAGCAACAACGACGACGUUAACGGCAGCGACGACGACGACAACGACGGUUCGAAAACGCGGAAGACCAAGAAAGAGGCAUCCAGUUACGGCGAGCGUCAUCAUGAAGCCGCUUCGAUAUCAGUAGUAGCGUCCCCGGCAACAAUUGUUGUUAUUGUUGUUGUUAGAUUAUUAUUAUUAUUAUCGACGACGAAGACGAAGAUGACUUGGGAGAUUGUUAUAAUGCACCGGAUAUUAUAAGCCGCAUGCGUGGUUUGUUUGUACGUUUUUGCUUUCUUUCUUUUUUCUUCAAUUUUUUUUUAAUUGUAUAACUAAACAAGAGUGGGGAAAAAAAGAGACAAACAGAAGAAAGAUCUCAGCUAUUCUUCUUCUUAUACUACUAUAAUAAUAGCUGAAACGCAUGAAAAUAUAUAUGUUAUCAACAUCUGUAACGUAAUGGUAAUGGUCGUCAUUUUAUAGUAAAUUUCGAUAAAAAAAUAGGGCGCACGUGUUUGUAGCAUGGAAGCGAAAGAGGAGGAGGAGCAAUUUUACGAUGUGUUCACAGAAACGUUGUAAUGUUUUUUCUUUGGAUAUAAUGUGUAAAUAUUAAACUGUUAAAUUGAGGUGUUCGAUGUUGAAACGGAGAAAGGUGUUCUCGAUCAAUUAAUAUUAAAGUAACGAGAUAGUGCGCAGAAGCAACAACGAAUCGGAUCUUGUCUUUCUGACACUUUUCUGAAAUGCAAUGGGUAAUCAGAUUUUGUAUCGAUAAAAAAAAUGUGGUUAUAAUGUGAAUCGGUUUAUAUAAGACGGUAUGUGUUUGUAAGUUAUAAGCAUGUUGCACGAAACGACACGAGAAAUAGCUUUUUUCUUCAGCGUUAUUUUCUGCUAGUACAUCGUCACACGUCAAUAAGUUGUUAAAUUUACAUAAGUUAGUAGUUAUAUAGUAGUUUCGAAAGUACCCAGAAAUGGAUAUCACUCGUACUUUUCGAAAUGAAAAAUCAAAGUCAUACUAUGGCUUUUUUUUUAACUGUACGUGCAAUUUUUUGGCACAGUAAAACCACCAAGUCGCGCAUUAUUAAUAUUAACUAAUUAAUUAAGAUAUAAAAGACAAAAUAUCCAAGUAACGCUUAUGUUUAAUUAAACGUGUCGUUCGCGACAAUCGUUCGAUGGGAUUCAAUUGCAAUUGCAACGAACGUAGUCUGAACGAUGCUAUGUAAACAAAAAAAAAAGUACAAAUUCUGUAAGACCCUUUGUGUAAUAACAUAAUAAUUGCGUCAUCUCUCACACCUGGUUUAGCGAAGGACUUUAGGUCCCAAUGCAUGUAUAAGAUGCUUCAAAGGACUGUUGAUAUCGAACAUGAUAAUAGCUUUAAACAAAAAUGAAGCAUUCGAAAGUACGUAUGAGUUGUUGUUUUUGUUGUUGAUGGCAUGAGAUUGGCUAGAACGACGCGUGUGCUUGGCGACGGUUAAAUUCAUCGAUCGACCGACUGAUAAGAUUUACAGUUCCGUUUUUAAUACCAUUUAUAAUAUUUUGAGAUGAAAAUCUAAUUAUAUAUAUCUUUUAAUUGUACAUUUUUAGAACGUAACUAAAAAAAAUAUGCUUGUGAUUUAAUGGUAUUAUUUUUCAGUGAUUUAAUGAAGAAUUUCGAAUUGGACACUAAAGUGAGAUGUAAAAAUUUUUAGUUUAGAGCAGAUUUUUUUGGUUUUUUUUUGUUAAGGGUUAAGAACUUUUUUUAACUUCGGUCUUGAGAUUGCACACCAUAUGCAUGAGCGAAAAAGUAGGAGGGUACAAGCGAGAACUUUAUCUUCUCUUGAAAAUACGAGCAUGGUUGGGAGUAUAAAUAGAAUUUAACAUAAUAAUAAUAAUAAUAAUAAUAAUCAUAAAAAAUAAUAUAAUAACAUAAUAAUAACAAUAAUAAUAAUAAAUAAUAUACUAUUAAGCAGGUCAUGGAGUCGAAGCUUGCGUCUUGUAGAUUUUUAAGAUUAGAUAGACUGACAUAUAUAAUGAAAAAUAAAACAAAAAAUACGUAACGAGUGAUCUCUGACACUGAUUUAUGUAAAAAGUUACGGUGUUGAACGAAAAAAAAAAUUUUCGAGAAUAAAUAAAAUAUGAAUUUAUUAUUAUUAUUGAGAAUUCAAGUCACGACGAUCAAAUUUAUACAAAUAUAUAUGUAUGCGUAUGUAUAUAUUUAUGUAUCUAUAAAAUUAAAUAUUCUAUGCGUG